GGUUUUGUGGUGUAGUUGGUAUUACGCCAGUCUAACAGACUGGUGGUCUCCGGUUCGGUCCCGGUCGAAAUUA